rnacentral:rRNA from 1 species
UUCCCCCAGUAACGGCGAGUGAAGUGGGAAGAGCUCAAAUUUUGAAUCUGGCAGCCUCGCUGUCCGAGUUGUAAUCUCUAGAAGUGUUUUCCGCGCUGGCCCGUGUAUAAGUCCGUUGGAAUACGGCGUCAUAGAGGGUGAGAAUCCCGUCCUUGACACGGACAACCAGUGCCUUGUGAUACACUCUCGAAGAGUCGAGUUGUUUGGGAAUGCAGCUCAAAAUGGGUGGUAAAUUCCAUCUAAAGCUAAAUAUUGGCGAGAGACCGAUAGCGAACAAGUACCGUGAGGGAAAGAUGAAAAGCACUUUGGAAAGAGAGUUAAACAGUACGUGAAAUUGUUGAAAGGGAAACGCUUGAAGUCAGACGUGCGGGCGGAACUCAGCCUUCCUUCGGGUCGGUGUAUUUUCCGUCAUGCAGGCCAGCAUCGGUUUCGGGCGCCGGAUAAGGGUCGGGGGAAUGUGGCUGCUCCGGCAGUGUUAUAGCCCCCGACUUGAUACGGCGCCCGGGACCGAGGGACGCAUUUUUAGGAUGCUGGCAUAAUGGCUUUAAACGACCCGUCUUGAAACACGGACCAAGGAGUCUAACAUGCUUGCGAGUGUUUGGGUGGCAAACCCGGGCGCGCAAUGAAAGUGAAUGGAGGUGGGAUCCGUAAGGUGCACCAUCGACCGGUCCUGCGUUUCGACAAUGGAUCUGAGUAAGAGCACGUAUGUUGGGACCCGAAAGAUGGUGAACUAUGCCUGAAUAGGGCGAAGCCAGAGGAAACUCUGGUGGAGGCUCGUAGCGGUUCUGACGUGCAAAUCGAUCGUCAAAUUUGGGUAUAGGGGCGAAAGACU